AAUCAACGCUGGCGGCGCGCUUAACACAUGCAAGUCGAGCGAGAAAGGGGAGCAAUCCCUGAGUACAGCGGCGUACGGGUGAGUAACACGUGGGUCAUCUACCUCUUUGUGGGGAAUAACCCUGGGAAACCGGGGCUAAUACCGCAUAAGCCUGGAAAGGGAAAGCAAGCAAUUGCGCAGAGAGAGGAGCCCGCGGCCGAUUAGCUAGUUGGUGAGGUAACGGCUCACCAAGGCGACGAUCGGUAGCCGGCCUGAGAGGGCACACGGCCACACUGGC
rnacentral:rRNA from 1 species